GAUGAAGAACGCAGCGAAAUGCGAUACUUGGUGUGAAUUGCAGAAUCCCGUGAACCAUCGAGUCUUUGAACGCAAGUUGCGCCCGAAGCCUCGGCUAAGGGCACGUCUGCCUGGGCGUCACGCAUCGCGUCUCCCCCAAACCGCCAAGGCGGAGGGGAAGGAAGAUGGCUUCCCGUGCCUCACCCGGCGCGGUUGGCCUAAAUUUGGAGCCCGCGGCACUUAGCUCUCGCGGCGAUAGGUGGUGAACAAGGCCUUGGCCGUGCAAACAACCCGCUGCGAAGCUCUAUGUCACGUGCGCUCGUCGGACCCUUUGAAGUUGCCUUCGGUGACUUAAAACCUUUGCGACCCCAGGUCAGGCGGGGCUACCCGCUGAAUUUAAGCAUAUCAAUAAGCGGAGGAA
rnacentral:misc_RNA from 1 species